GUCAACAUGGCCGAGCGGUUAAGGCGUGAGACUCGAAAUCUCAUGGGAUCUCCCGCGCAGGUUCAAAUCCUGCUGUUGACG
rfam:Lobosporangium transversale strain NRRL 3116 BCR41scaffold_18, whole genome shotgun sequence.